AGAAGAAAUGAUGCCAAAGGAGCUGUGCACAGAUUUAAGACCAAGACCUGAAGAAGAAAUAGCACAACAAUGCCGUCGUUUGCAAUGAUAAAAGUUACAGUCAUCACAUGAGAGACCAGAGCCUGAAUAGUACAGAGAAAGAGACAUCUGAGAAAUCCUUUCUGCACUGUAAAGAAACAGAGAUUAUAUUUUCGAAGUCUUUUUUGGCUGUUCUGCCACGGUAACAGUCACAAAGUUGUUCAUAUAAACAACCUGCAGCCAGUGAAAGAAAAUGUGGUUUAACAGAAAGAAUCUACUUCUCAAGGCUUGCACAUUAUUAAUGUACCAAACAAUCGUAAAACGAACAUUAUAUUCCCGGAGUGCAUUCUGGAUGACAGUGGAUAAUCUUUAAACAGUGCCGUUACAACACCACAAAUCAAAGGAUUACUCCAGUUCCACCAACUUAAUCCACGUGCAAGAUGAAG